AUGUUCCUGUUUUGGAUCCUAAUGAAGCGCGCCGCCGUCGGCAUGAGAUUCGAUGUGGGAAGCGUCCUAUUUAUUUAUACAACCACAGUCCAUUGGCUGGAGUCAAGGAAAUUCUCAAGCAUAAAACAGCAUCUUCUUACUCAGCGUGCUUUUAAUGGAGAAGUUGGUAUUGAGCCUCUUGAGAAAAUUACUGAUGUGAUGCUGCAGACAAAAUUGACCAAUACUUGGUGUGAAGGGGACAAACGUUACGUCUUCCCAAAUUGUAUAAAGCCUGCUGAUUCAGAACCACCUCCACAUUACUUGUUUACAAGUGGUGCCAAGGAUGAAGUCGAAGCGGCACGGAUGGCAGCAAUCAACAAGGAAAUUAAACGUGUGUUGACGGAAGUUCUUCUGAAGGUUGCGGAUGAUCUUUUUAAUGAGAUCGCAACCAAAGUUAUGAAUGAAGAUGAUUCAUCAGCUGAACCAAAUGAGACCACUGGUGUCUCUAGCUCAAAGGAGCUUGGUCUGGGAGAAUCAAAAGUCAAGACCACAGCUAAAGUUGUAGUCCCUGCUAAGCCAAAUAAUGUUAGCUCUACUGGUCGUUCUGAUGGUACUGGGCUAAGUUCUCCUAAAGGUGCUCUUCUUGGUCUUGCUAGUUAUGAUUCAGAUGACGAGGAUGAGGGUGAUGGUGAUGGUAGGUUUAAUUCCAAAUUUAUCAUCUGA
rnacentral:rRNA from 1 species